rnacentral:rRNA from 1 species
GCUUAACACAUGCAAGUCGAGCGUCAGCAUGGUCUUAGCUUGCUAAGGCCGAUGGCGACCGGCGCACGGGUGAGUAACACGUAUCCAACCUGCCGUCUACUCUUGGACAGCCUUCUGAAAGGAAGAUUAAUACAAGAUGGCAUCAUGAGUCCGCAUGUUCACAUGAUUAAAGGUAUUCCGGUAGACGAUGGGGAUGCGUUCCAUUAGAUAGUAGGCGGGGUAACGGCCCACCUAGCCUUCGAUGGAUAGGGGUUCUGAGAGGAAGGUCCCCCACAUUGGAACUGAGACACGGUCCAAACUCCUACGGGAGGCAGCAGUGAGGAAUAUUGGUCAAUGGGCGAGAGCCUGAACCAGCCAAGUAGCGUGAAGGAUGACUGCCCUAUGGGUUGUAAACUUCUUUUAUAAAGGAAUAAAGUCGGGUAUGGAUACCCGUUUGCAUGUACUUUAUGAAUAAGGAUCGGCUAACUCCGUGCCAGCAGCCGCGGUAAUACGGAGGAUCCGAGCGUUAUCCGGAUUUAUUGGGUUUAAAGGGAGCGUAGAUGGAUGUUUAAGUCAGUUGUGAAAGUUUGCGGCUCAACCGUAAAAUUGCAGUUGAUACUGGAUAUCUUGAGUGCAGUUGAGGCAGGCGGAAUUCGUGGUGUAGCGGUGAAAUGCUUAGAUAUCACGAAGAACUCCGAUUGCGAAGGCAGCCUGCUAAGCUGCAACUGACAUUGAGGCUCGAAAGUGUGGGUAUCAAACAGGAUUAGAUACCCUGGUAGUCCACACGGUAAACGAUGAAUACUCGCUGUUUGCGAUAUACUGCAAGCGGCCAAGCGAAAGCGUUAAGUAUUCCACCUGGGGAGUACGCCGGCAACGGUGAAACUCAAAGGAAUUGACGGGGGCCCGCACAAGCGGAGGAACAUGUGGUUUAAUUCGAUGAUACGCGAGGAACCUUACCCGGGCUUAAAUUGCAGAUGAAUUACGGUGAAAGCCGUAAGCCGCAAGGCAUCUGUGAAGGUGCUGCAUGGUUGUCGUCAGCUCGUGCCGUGAGGUGUCGGCUUAAGUGCCAUAACGAGCGCAACCCUUGUUGUCAGUUACUAACAGGUUCCGCUGAGGACUCUGACAAGACUGCCAUCGUAAGAUGUGAGGAAGGUGGGGAUGACGUCAAAUCAGCACGGCCCUUACGUCCGGGGCUACACACGUGUUACAAUGGGGGGUACAGAGGGCCGCUACCACGCGAGUGGAUGCCAAUCCCCAAAACCUCUCUCAGUUCGGACUGGAGUCUGCAACCCGACUCCACGAAGCUGGAUUCGCUAGUAAUCGCGCAUCAGCCACGGCGCGGUGAAUACGUUCCCGGGCCUUGUACACACCGCCCGUCAAGCCAUGGGAGCCGGGGGUACCUGAAGUGCGUAACCGCGAGGAGCGCCCUAGGGUAAAACUGGUGACA